UACGUAGGGUGCGAGCGUUGUCCGGAUUUAUUGGGCGUAAAGGGCUCGUAGGCGGCGUGUCGCGUCGGGAGUGAAAGCCCGUUGCUUAACGGCGGGUUGGCUUUCGGUACGGGCAGACUAGAGUGCGGUAGGGGAGAUCGGAAUUCCUGGUGUAGCGGUGAAAUGCGCAGAUAUCAGGAGGAACACCGGUGGCGAAGGCGGAUCUCUGGGCCGUAACUGACGCUGAGGAGCGAAAGCAUGGGGAGCGAACAGG
rnacentral:rRNA from 1 species